ACAUAUUAACAUGCACGUGGCAUUAUAGGUCAAAUCCAUUCUGUAUUUCACACCAACUCGUCAGAUUCCAUACGACCAGUUUUCUACGAUCACCGGAUCUGAAGCUCUCAAAUACCCAAUCAAAUUCUUUUUCUCUCAGCUACGAAUUGCGAAUUCCCAAUUCUUGCUCGGAAUUGGGUUAUUCGGGAUGGGGAAAGGAGGAGGCUGUGUUCCAAGCAAGAACAAACGCCCUGCCGUUGCUGAAGACCCCCAACGAUCAUCUGUCGACGCGCCGAUCCCUAUUGAGGAAAAUGCUGAUAACAAUGCCGCCGUCGCAAUCGAUUCCACCUCACAAUUGAAGAUAUUCAUUGUGUUUUACUCGAUGUACGGUCACGUGGAGGGGUUGGCCAGGCGGAUGAAGAAGGGAGUCGACGGAGUAGAAGGAGUGCAGGCUGUUUUGUAUCGGGUUCCGGAGACCUUACCGGCUGAUGUGUUGGAACACAUGAAGGCACCACCGAAGGACCCUGAGGUUCCGGAGAUAACGGCCGCGGAAUUGACGGAUGCCGAUGGGGUUUUGUUCGGGUUUCCGACGAGGUACGGGUGCAUGGCCGCACAGAUGAAGUCGUUCUUUGACUCUACCGGGCAUUUGUGGAAAGAGCAGAAGCUUGCUGGAAGGCCUGCUGGAUUCUUCGUGAGUACCGGGACACAAGGUGGCGGCCAAGAAACAACAGCAUGGACAGCAAUUACCCAGUUGGCUCACCAUGGAAUGCUAUAUGUUCCUGUUGGUUACACCUUUGGAGCUGGUAUGUUUAAGAUGGAUUCUAUACGAGGCGGUUCUCCAUAUGGUGCUGGUGUUUAUGCUGGUGAUGGCUUGAGAGAGCCAAGUGAAUCGGAGCUGGCACUUGCAGAACAUCAGGGCAAAUAUAUGGCUACAGUGGUGAAGAAGCUUGCUCAGGCUUGAUGAUUUUGUUCCCAAUCUGUUGAACACUUAUGGUCUCUUUCUCUGGGUCAUCUAUUUGAAUACAUUUGUUUGUAAUUGGUCUUGUGUCAAAUAUGAGGAUUAUUACCGUUUAUACUAGCUCCAUUUUUUGUUCAUACAUUGCUUACAAUUUCAAUUUGUACAUGAUUUGAAAUUCUCAUACCUGAUUAAAUAAUGUUGUGAAUCUCUGCUGUGUCUCCUUAAUGUAAUACAUUUUGCUCUGGUUUUAAGUCAUUUCAGACUACUCAUAGUGCAUUUGGAUUUGUG
rnacentral:misc_RNA from 1 species